GAAACCUAGCAGAGGGCCAGUCUGGUGCCAGCAGCUGCGGUAAUUCCAGCUCUGCGAGUUUGCUCCCAUAUUGUUGCAGUUAAAACGCCCGUAGUCUGAAUUGGCCAGCAAUGGUCGUACGUAUUUUUACGUUCACUGUGAACAAAUCAGGACGCUUAGAGUAUGGCCACAUGAAUGACUCAGCGCAGUAUGAAGUCUUUGUUUUCUUCCGAAAACAAGCUCAAUGAGAGCCAUCGGGGGUAGAUCUAUCUCAUGACGAGUGGUGGAAUACUUUGACUCAUGAGAGAGAAGCUGAGGCGAAGGCGUCUACCUAGAGGGUUUCUGUCGAUCAAGGGCGAGAGUAGGAGUAUCCAACAGGAUUAGAGACCCUGGUAGUUCCUACCUUAAACGAUGCCGACAGGAGUUUGUCAUUUGUUAAUGGCAGAAUCUUUGGAGAAAUCAUAGUUCUUGGGCUCUGGGGGAACUACGACCGCAAGGCUGAAACUUGAAGGAAUUGACGGAAGGGCACACCAGGGGUGGAGCCUGUGGCUUAAUUUGAAUCAACACGGGGAAACUUACCAGGACCAGAUGUUUUUUAUGACUGACAGGCUUCGGGUCUUUCAGGAUAUUGUUUUUGGUGGUGCAUGGCCGUUGGUGGUGCGUGGGUUGACCUGUCUAGCGUUGAUUCAGCUAACGAGCGAGAUUAUCGCCAAUUAUUUACUUUGCCGAAGUCCUUCGGUUAAAGUUCUAAUUGGGACUCCCUGCGAUUUUAGCAGGUGGAAGAGGGUAGCAAUAACAGGUCCGUGAUGCCCUUUAGAUGCUCUGGGCUGCACGCGUGCUACAAUGUUAGGAUCAAUAGGACUGCGAGCCUGAGAGGGUGCGCUACUCUUAUAAUCCCUAACGUAGUUGGGAUUGACGUUUGUAAUCAGCGUCAUGAACCAGGAAUCCCUUGUAAAUGUGUGUCAACAACGCACGUGAAUACGUCCCUGCCCUUUGUACACACCGCCCGUCGCUCCUACCGAUUGGAUGACUCGGUGAAAUCACCGGAUGCUUACGAGCAGAAAGUGAUUAAAUCACGUUAUCUAGAGGAAGGAGAAGUCGUAACAAGGUAACGGUAGGUGAACCUGCCGUUGGAUC
rnacentral:rRNA from 1 species